GGGGCUUGUCUUUUUGCUCACUGCUGUGUCUGCAGCGCCCGGUGCCAUGCCUCAUGCAGCAGUGGGUGAUUUACAUGGUCCCAGUCAUUUUCUGGUGAAUGAGUGAGUGAGAAUGAAUGAGUGGGGUCAGCCAGGAGCUGCAGGAGGGAAGGCCACGGUGGCCAGAGUCCAGUGAGGAAACAGCAGAAUGGUGGAGGUAACCCAGGGAAUGGGGCUGCGUCAGUGAGAAGAGUGCUCAGCCGUUGGUCUGCUUGGUCUCGAGUUGCUGUGAUCCGCUGGCUUGGUCAGAAGUCCAGAGCUGCCUGGCGGAAAGCGGCUGAGGAGGAGUUUAAGGCAGUGCCUCUGCUGGAAGCGGCCCCUUCAUCCAUCACGGGGAAUUCGAUCUCAUCCUGUGGAUAACUCGGCUUAGAAAUUUGGUUUCUGUGGGACUGGCUUGUGGAGUUCUGCCCUCCUCAAUGUGCGAGAACUUGUCAGGGUGACAGAUGGGCCACCUAGGAUGGUGGAACAGCAGCAUAGUUCUGUCUUUCCUACCCGGGAAUUCAGAGGUCCCUUCACCAGGGCUUGGGGAAAAAAGGAGUCGAGAGGAACAGGAAGGGACAUUUGCGAAAAUUAUAGAUGGGACGGCACAGAAUCUUUCAUAACUGCUCUUUUAAAAAUUAACUUGAGGCCAGGUUAUUUUCAAAUCAGACAUCUGAGGUAUCAGCCCUCACACACUGUCUUUGAUGCCCCUGUUGUCCUCGCUGGGCUCUGGAGAGCGCCGCCCAUGGAGUUUGCAGAGGGCAUGGUGAAAGCUGAGUGCAGACGCAGAGCCGGGGUCCAAGAAUAGCCUGCCUGUUGCAGGAGAGAACAUGUUUCAAGACCAGAUGGUUAAACACUUACCUCAGUCUUUCCAAAGAUCCAGAUGACCCAUUUCAGAGAUUUCCUGUCCCCCGAGCCUGGGGACAUAGUGAGAUUCCGUGAUCUGAGGAACUCCUCCCUCCUACACUGAAUAGGAGGAGGUGUGUGGAGCCUGUACUAGUGGGAGCAACCAGCAGGAACGUCCUGGACAAAUGUUUGCUCUUUGCUUCCUUUGUAAAUGCACGGUUUUCUGCCCCC
rnacentral:lncRNA from 1 species